rnacentral:rRNA from 1 species
CGGCGGACGGGUGAGUAACACGUGGAUAACCUACCUAUAAGACUGGGAUAACUUCGGGAAACCGGAGCUAAUACCGGAUAAUAUUUUGAACCGCAUGGUUCAAAAGUGAAAGACGGUCUUGCUGUCACUUAUAGAUGGAUCCGCGCUGCAUUAGCUAGUUGGUAAGGUAACGGCUUACCAAGGCAACGAUGCAUAGCCGACCUGAGAGGGUGAUCGGCCACACUGGAACUGAGACACGGUCCAGACUCCUACGGGAGGCAGCAGUAGGGAAUCUUCCGCAAUGGGCGAAAGCCUGACGGAGCAACGCCGCGUGAGUGAUGAAGGUCUUCGGAUCGUAAAACUCUGUUAUUAGGGAAGAACAUAUGUGUAAGUAACUGUGCACAUCUUGACGGUACCUAAUCAGAAAGCCACGGCUAACUACGUGCCAGCAGCCGCGGUAAUACGUAGGUGGCAAGCGUUAUCCGGAAUUAUUGGGCGUAAAGCGCGCGUAGGCGGUUUUUUAAGUCUGAUGUGAAAGCCCACGGCUCAACCGUGGAGGGUCAUUGGAAACUGGAAAACUUGAGUGCAGAAGAGGAAAGUGGAAUUCCAUGUGUAGCGGUGAAAUGCGCAGAGAUAUGGAGGAACACCAGUGGCGAAGGCGACUUUCUGGUCUGUAACUGACGCUGAUGUGCGAAAGCGUGGGGAUCAAACAGGAUUAGAUACCCUGGUAGUCCACGCCGUAAACGAUGAGUGCUAAGUGUUAGGGGGUUUCCGCCCCUUAGUGCUGCAGCUAACGCAUUAAGCACUCCGCCUGGGAGUACGACC